rnacentral:rRNA from 1 species
ACUGGNGCGUGCCUAUCAUGCAGUCGAGCGAAUGGAUUAAGAGCUUGCUCUUAUGAAGUUAGCGGCGGACGGGUGAGUAACACGUGGGUAACCUGCCCAUAAGACUGGGAUAACUCCGGGAAACCGGGGCUAAUACCGGAUAACAUUUUGAACCGCAUGGUUCGAAAUUGAAAGGCGGCUUCGGCUGUCACUUAUGGAUGGACCCGCGUCGCAUUAGCUAGUUGGUGAGGUAACGGCUCACCAAGGCAACGAUGCGUAGCCGACCUGAGAGGGUGAUCGGCCACACUGGGACUGAGACACGGCCCAGACUCCUACGGGAGGCAGCAGUAGGGAAUCUUCCGCAAUGGACGAAAGUCUGACGGAGCAACGCCGCGUGAGUGAUGAAGGCUUUCGGGUCGUAAAACUCUGUUGUUAGGGAAGAACAAGUGCUAGUUGAAUAAGCUGGCACCUUGACGGUACCUAACCAGAAAGCCACGGCUAACUACGUGCCAGCAGCCGCGGUAAUACGUAGGUGGCAAGCGUUAUCCGGAAUUAUUGGGCGUAAAGCGCGCGCAGGUGGUUUCUUAAGUCUGAUGUGAAAGCCCACGGCUCAACCGUGGAGGGUCAUUGGAAACUGGGAGACUUGAGUGCAGAAGAGGAAAGUGGAAUUCCAUGUGUAGCGGUGAAAUGCGUAGAGAUAUGGGAGGAACACCAGUGGCGAAGGCGACUUUCUGGUCUGUAACUGACACUGAGGGCGCGAAANGCGUGGGGAGCAAACAGGAUUANGAUACCCUGGUAGUCCACGCCGUAAACGAUGAGUGCUAANUGUUANAGGGUUUCCGCCCNUUUAGUGCUGAAGUUAACGCAU